CUAACAGGUGUGUGUGUGUCCACACUAACAGGUGUGUGUGUGUCCACACUAACAGGUGUGUGUGUGUCCACACUAACAGGUGUGUGUGUGUCCACACUAACAGGUGUGUGUGUGUCCACACUAACAGGUGUGUGUGUGUCCACACUAACAGGUGUGUGUGUGUCCACACUAACAGGUGUGUGUGUGUCCAGACUAACAGGUGUGUGUGUGUCCACACUAACAGGUGUGUGUGUGUCCACACUAACAGG